CCUACGGGUGGCAGCAGUGGGGAAUAUUGCACAAUGGGGGAAACCCUGAUGCAGCGACGCCGCGUGAGCGAUGAAGUAUUUCGGUAUGUAAAGCUCUAUUAGCAGGGAAGAAAAUGACGGUACCUGACUAAGAAGCACCGGCUAACUACGUGCCAGCACCCGCGGUACGAAGGAGGGGGCAAGCGUUAUCCGGAUUUACUGGGUGUAAAGGGAGAGUAGACGGUCUUGCAAGCCAGAUGUGAAAGCCCGGGGCUCAACCCCGGGACUGCAUUUGGAACUGUAAGGCUAGAGUGUCGGAGAGGCAGGCGGAAUUCAUGGUGUAGCGGUGAAAGGCGUAGAUAUUAGGAAGAAGACCAGUGGCGAAGGCGGCCUGCUGGACGAUGACUGACGUUGAGGCUCGAAAGCGUGGGGAGCAAACAGGAUUAGAUACCCCGGUAGUC
rnacentral:rRNA from 1 species